rnacentral:rRNA from 1 species
AUUGAACGCUGGCGGCAUGCUUUACACAUGCAAGUCGAGCGGUAACAGGCCGCAAGGUGCUGACGAGUGGCGAACGGGUGAGUAAUGCAUCGGAACGUGCCCAGCCGUGGGGGAUAACUACUCGAAAGAGUAGCUAAUACCGCAUACGAUCUAUGGAUGAAAGCGGGGGACCGUAAGGCCUCGCGCGAUUGGAGCGGCCGAUGUCAGAUUAGGUAGUUGGUGGGGUAAAGGCUCACCAAGCCAACGAUCUGUAGCUGGUCUGAGAGGACGACCAGCCACACUGGGACUGAGACACGGCCCAGACUCCUACGGGAGGCGGCAGUGGGGAAUUUUGGACAAUGGGCGCAAGCCUGAUCCAGCAAUGCCGCGUGCAGGAAGAAGGCCUUCGGGUUGUAAACUGCUUUUGUACGGAACGAAACGGCUCUGGUUAAUACCCGGGGCUAAUGACGGUACCGUAAGAAUAAGCACCGGCUAACUACGUG